rnacentral:tRNA from 1 species
UUGGAUUUAAACCCCAAAUAUGAAGUUUAACCUUUUUUUAGAA